rnacentral:rRNA from 1 species
AGCGAACGCUGGCGGCGUGCCUAAUACAUGCAAGUCGAACGCAGUGGCGCACGGGUGAGUAAUGUAUAGCUAAUCUGCCCUACACUAGAGGACAACAGUUGGAAACGGCUGCUAAUACUCUAUAGUGUAGGAUGAGGCUAUAUUGUAUCAGCUAGUUGGUGAGGUAAUGGUUCACCAAGGCUAUGACGCAUAACUGGUCUGAGAGGAUGAUCAGACACACCGUAACGGCGACACGGUCCGGACUCCUCCGGAAGGGGGCGGUAGGGAAUAUUGCUACAUGGGGGAAACCCUGAAGCAGCAACGCCGCGUGGAGGAUGACACUAAUCGGAGCGUAAACUCCUUUUGUUAGGGAAGCGGUACCUAACGAAUAAGCAACGGCUAACUCCGUGCCAGCAGCCGCGGUAAUAC